GACGAACGCUGGCGGCGUGCUUAGCACAUGCAAGUCGAACGGAAAUGCCCUGCUGUUGUGUUGUGCUCGAGUGGCGAACGGGUGAGUAACACGGGAGUAACCUGCCCGGGACUUUGGGAUAACGUCAGGAAACUGGGGCUAAUACCGGAUAUGAGCUCCUGCUGCAUUGUGUGGGUUGUAAAGUUUCGGCGGUUGGGGAUGGACUCGGGGCUUAUCAGCUGGUUGGUGGGGGAGUGGCUUACGAGGUGUUGGACGGGUAGCCCGCCCGAGCGGGUGACCGGCGACCUUGCGCCUGCGAUACGGCGCAGACUGGUACGGGAGGCAGCAGUGGGAAAUCUUGCCGAGUGGGCGGACGCCUGAUGCAGCAGCGCCGCGUGCGGGAUGACGGCCUUCGGGUUGUAAACCGCUUUCGCAUGUGACGAACCGUGAGUGACGGUAAUGAGUAAAGAAGCAACGGCUAACUACGUG
rnacentral:rRNA from 1 species